CCUACGGGUGGCAGCAGUGAGGAAUAUUGGUCAAUGGACGAGAGUCUGAACCAGCCAAGUAGCGUGAAGGAUGACUGCCCUAUGGGUUGUAAACUUCUUUUAUAAAGGAAUAAAACGAGGCACGUGUGCCUUUUUGCAUGUACUUUAUGAAUAAGGAUCGGCUAACUCCGUGCCAGCAGCCGCGGUAAUACGGAGGAUCCGAGCGUUAUCCGGAUUUAUUGGGUUUAAAGGGAGCGUAGAUGGGUUGUUAAGUCAGUUGUGAAAGUUUGCGGCUCAACCGUAAAAUUGCAAUUGAUACUGGCAGUCGUGAGUACAGUUGAGGUAAGCGGAAUUCGUGGUGUAGCGGUGAAAUGCUUAGAUAUCACGAAGAACCCCGAUUGCGAAGGCAGCUUACUAAACUGGGACUGACAUUGAUGCUCGAAAGUGUGGGUAUCAAACAGGAUUAGAUACCCCUGUAGU
rnacentral:rRNA from 1 species